rnacentral:rRNA from 1 species
CGUUGUCCGGAAUUACUGGGCGUAAAGAGCUCGUAGGUGGUUUGUCGCGUCGUUUGUGUAAGCCCGCAGCUUAACUGCGGGACUGCAGGCGAUACGGGCAUAACUUGAGUGCUGUAGGGGAGACUGGAAUUCCUGGUGUAGCGGUGGAAUGCGCAGAUUUCAGGAGGAACACCGAUGGGGAAGGCAGGUCUUUGGGCAGUAACUGACGUUGAGGAGGGAAAGCAUGGGUAGCGAACAGGAUUAGAUACCCUGGUAGUCCAUGCCGUAAACGGUGGGCGCUAGGUGUGAGUCCCUUCCACGGGGUUCGUUCCGUAGCUAACGCAUUAAGCGCCCCCCCUGGGGAGUACGGCCGCAAGGCUAAAACUCAAAGGAAUUGACGGGGGCCCGCCCAAGCGGCGGAGCAUGUGGAUUAAUUGGAUGCAACGGGAAGAACCUUACCUGGGCUUGACAUACACCAGAUUGCCGUAGAGAUACGGUUCCCUCUUUGAUGGUUGAUGUACAGGUGGUGCAUGGUGUCGUCAG